AGGGCACCACCAGGAGUGGAGCCUGCGGCUUAAUUUGACUCAACACGGGAAAUCUCACCAGGCCCGGACACCGGAAGGAUUGACAGAUUGAGAGCUCUUUCUUGAUUCGGUGGGUGGUGGUGCAUGGCCGUUCUUAGUUGGUGGAGCGAUUUGUCUGGUUAAUUCCGAUAACGAACGAGACUCCGGCCUACUAACUAGAUGGAGGAUCCCUUCGUGGGUUCUUCACUGCUUCUUAGAGGGACGGGCGGCGUUUAGCCGCACGAGAUUGAGCAAUAACAGGUCUGUGAUGCCCUUAGAUGUUCUGGGCUGCACGCGCGCUACACUGAAGGAAUCAGCGUGUCCUCCCCGCUCUGAAAAGAGUGGGUAACCCGUUGAAACUCCUUCGUGAUGGGGAUUGGAGAUUGUAAUUAUUCUCCAUGAACGAGGAAUUCCCAGUAGGCGCGAGUCAUCAGCUUGCGUCGAUUACGUCCCUGCCCUUUGUACACACCGCCCGUCGCUACUACCGAUCGAGUGAUUUAG
rnacentral:rRNA from 1 species